rnacentral:tRNA from 1 species
GCCUUAGAAGCUAAAAUAGAAGCGCUGGUCUUGUAAACCUGAAACUGAGUCAACUCUCCUAAGACA